UGGGGAAUAUUGGGCAAUGGGCGAAAGCCUGACCCAGCAACGCCGCGUGAGGGAAGAAGGUUUUCGGAUUGUAGACCUCUGUCCUUGGGGACGAAAAAAAUGACGGUACCCAAGGAGGAAGCCCCGGCUAACUACGUGCCAGCAGCCGCGGUAAUACGUAGGGGGCGAGCGUUGUCCGGAAUUACUGGGCGUAAAGGGUGCGUAGGCGGUUUUUUAAGUCAGAUGUGAAAUCCCCGGGCUUAACUCGGGUGGUGCAUUUGAAACUGGGAGGCUAGAGUGCAGGAGAGGGAAGCGGAAUUCCUAGUGUAGCGGUGAAAUGCGUAGAUAUUAGGAGGAACACCAGUGGCGAAGGCGGCUUUCUGGACUGUAACUGACGCUGAGGCACGAAAGCGUGGGGAGCAAACAG
rnacentral:rRNA from 1 species